rnacentral:tRNA from 1 species
GGAGGGGUCGCAUAGUCCGGUCUAGUGCGCGGCACUCGAAAUGCCGUAGGGGGUUGCCACCUCCUCGUGGGUUCAAAUCCCACCCCCUCCGCCG